rnacentral:snRNA from 1 species
AUCCAACUGGUAUGAGUUU